rnacentral:rRNA from 1 species
UACGGGGGGGGCAAGCGUUGUUCGGAAUUACUGGGCGUAAAGGGCUCGUAGGUGGCCAACUAAGUCAGACGUGAAAUCCCUCGGCUUAACCGGGGAACUGCGUCUGAUACUGGAUGGCUUGAGGUUGGGAGAGGGACGCGGAAUUCCAGGUGUAGCGGUGAAAUGCGUAGAUAUCUGGAGGAACACCGGUGGCGAAGGCGGCGUCCUGGACCAAUUCUGACACUGAGGAGCGAAAGCGUGGGGAGCGAACAGG